rnacentral:rRNA from 1 species
AGAGUUUGAUCCUGGCUCAGGAUGAACGCUAGCUACAGGCUUAACACAUGCAAGUCGAGGGGCAGCAUGGUCUUAGCUUGCUAAGGCCGAUGGCGACCGGCGCACGGGUGAGUAACGCGUAUCCAACCUGCCUUACACUCUUGGACAGCCUUCUGAAAGGGAGAUUAAUACAAGAUGUUAUCAUGAGUAAGCAUUUUCGCAUGAUUAAAGGUUUACCGGUGUAAGAUGGGGAUGCGUUCCAUUAGAUAGUAGGCGGGGUAACGGCCCACCUAGUCUUCGAUGGAUAGGGGUUCUGAGAGGAAGGUCCCCCACAUUGGAACUGAGACACGGUCCAAACUCCUACGGGAGGCAGCAGUGAGGAAUAUUGGUCAAUGGACGAGAGUCUGAACCAGCCAAGUAGCGUGAAGGAUGAAGGUUCUAUGGAUUGUAAACUUCUUUUAUACGGGAAUAAACGGAUCCACGUGUGGAUUUUUGCAUGUACCGUAUGAAUAAGGAUCGGCUAACUCCGUGCCAGCAGCCGCGGUAAUACGGAGGAUCCGAGCGUUAUCCGGAUUUAUUGGGUUUAAAGGGAGCGUAGAUGGGUUGUUAAGUCAGUUGUGAAAGUUUGCGGCUCAACCGUAAAAUUGCAAUUGAUACUGGCAGUCUUGAGUACAGUUGAGGUAGGCGGAAUUCGUGGUGUAGCGGUGAAAUGCUUAGAUAUCACGAAGAACUCCGAUUGCGAAGGCAGCUUACUAACCUGUAACUGACAUUGAUGCUCGAAAGUGUGGGUAUCAAACAGGAUUAGAUACCCUGGUAGUCCACACGGUAAACGAUGAAUACUCGCUGUAGGCGAUAUACAGUCUGCGGCCAAGCGAAAGCAUUAAGUAUUCCACCUGGGGAGUACGCCGGCAACGGUGAAACUCAAAGGAAUUGACGGGGGCCCGCACAAGCGGAGGAACAUGUGGUUUAAUUCGAUGAUACGCGAGGAACCUUACCCGGGCUUAAAUUGCAACCGAAUAUGGCGGAAACGCUAUAGCUAGCAAUAGCGGUUGUGAAGGUGCUGCAUGGUUGUCGUCAGCUCGUGCCGUGAGGUGUCGGCUUAAGUGCCAUAACGAGCGCAACCCUUGCCGAUAGUUACUAACAGGUUAUGCUGAGGACUCUGUCGGGACUGCCAUCGUAAGAUGUGAGGAAGGUGGGGAUGACGUCAAAUCAGCACGGCCCUUACGUCCGGGGCUACACACGUGUUACAAUGGGGGGUACAGAGGGCUGCUACCACGCAAGUGGAUGCCAAUCCCAAAAACCUCUCUCAGUUCGGAUUGAAGUCUGCAACCCGACUUCAUGAAGCUGGAUUCGCUAGUAAUCGCGCAUCAGCCACGGCGCGGUGAAUACGUUCCCGGGCCUUGCACUCACCGCCCGUCA